CCUGCAGUUCAGCCCUCUCAAUGGUAAUCGGCCUUCUCUCUCUAUCCCUGCAGUUUGGAGAGAAUUGUUGUUUCAAAUCUGCAUAAGAGCACGAAGGAAUCAUUUUCUGAGACAAUCAAAGAGAUGUAUUAUCAUUUCAAUGAAAGAUCAGGGCAGAAGGCUCCAUUAGUUGCAGAUGAUGUUUAUGAGAUAAUCAUGAAGAAUGCUGGCCUUCUGGAUAGUGAAAUAAUUUAUGACAGAGACUUCGACCAUGACUACUUUGGUUUCAAAACUCUUGAGAGAUCCUACCUAUUCAAGGUUUCCAGAUGAGUAGUUGUUUCCUUAUUUGCAUGAAAGAUGAUAGCAUUGAAGGAAUAUAUGAUACUCUGAAGGAAUGUGCUGUCAUUAGCAAAUUGGCAGGAGGCAUUGGUGUUUCCAUUCAUAAUAAUCGUGCGACAAGCAAUUACAUUCAUAGUACAAAUGGGACCUCCAUUGGCAUUUUCCCAAUGCUACGGGUGUUCAAUGAUACUGCCCAUUAUGUUGAUCGAGGGGGUGGCAAGAGGAAGGGUAAUUUGCCAUGCCCUAUUUUUAAAUUAUUAUUGUUUUUUUUUUUUCCUGUGCAUCUAGUUUAUGUCAUUUCUUGUUUCUUUUGGAGUUAAUUAGGCGAUUUACUGUUGUUUAUGCUCCUUGUAGGUGCAUUUGCUGUGUAUUUGGAGCCAUGGCAUGCAGAUGUCUUUGAGUUCCUAGAUCUUGGAAAGAACCAUGGAAAGGUAUUGCUCAUAGCCAAUUAAGAUCUUAUGUGAUUGGAAUAGUUCUGUAGUGCAUUUUUUCAAUAAAAACUUCCUUUCUUUUUUUCUUUUUUUCUUUUGGUUAUGUAAUCCAUUUACUUUGAUGGACAUUUUUUGAACUGAAUGUUUGUAUGAUUUAGUUAGUCAAAUAUAAUGAAUUUAUUGUAUGUUUGUUGUGAAAACUCAAUUUGUAGGUGUUAGGCCCUAUCAUUCUUCUGGUAAAGCCAACCCAAAAUAGGUAAUGGUACCCUAUCUUCCUUAUUUUCCUACUGAUAUGCUGCUUGUGUGGGCUAUAUGAUGUAACACUGAAUCUAUCAAUUUUGACAAUAACUGGCAACACCUUUGUUUUGUUUUUGUUUUU